GAUGAACGCUAGCGGCAGGCCUAAUACAUGCAAGCUGAACGGCAAUCCCGCCAGCAAUGGCGGGACUAGAGUAGCGUAAGGGUGCGUAACACGUAUGCAAUCUGCCCUCAACAGGAGGAUAGCUCCCGAAAGGGGAAUUAAGACUCCAUAAUAUCAAUUUAAUGGCAUCAUUGGAUGAUUAAACUACCGAGGGGUUGAGGAUGAGCAUGCGCAUGAUUAGUUAGUUGG
rnacentral:rRNA from 1 species